rnacentral:rRNA from 1 species
GAUGAACGCUGGCGGCGUGCCUAAUACAUGCAAGUCGAGCGAACAGACGAGGAGCUUGCUCCUCUGAUGUUAGCGGCGGACGGGUGUGUAACACGUGGAUAACCUACCUAUAAGACUGGGAUAACUUCGGGAAACCGGAGCUAAUACCGGAUAACAUGUUGAACCGCAUGGUUCAACAGUGUAAGACGGUCUUGCUGUCACUUAUAGAUGGAUCCGCGCCGCAUUAGCUAGUUGGUAAGGUAACGGCUUACCAAGGCAACGAUGCGUAGCCGACCUGAGAGGGUGAUCGGCCACACUGGAACUGAGACACGGUCCAGACUCCUACGGGAGGCAGCAGUAGGGAAUCUUCCGCAAUGGGCGAAAGCCUGACGGAGCAACGCCGCGUGAGUGAAGAAGGUCUUCGGAUCGUAAAACUCUGUUAUUAGGGAAGAACAAAUGUGUAAGUAACUAUGCACGUCUUGACGGUACCUAAUCAGAAAGCCACGGCUAACUACGUG